rnacentral:tRNA from 1 species
GUUUAUGUAGCUUAAAAAUUAAAGUAUAAUAGUGAAGUUAUUAAGAUAAAAAUAUUUUAUAAACA